GGGUGAAGCCUGCGGUUCAAUUGGAGUCAACGCCAGGAAACUUACCAGGAGCGACAGCAGGUUGAGAGUCAGGCUGAAGAUUUUACUUGACGAGCUGAGAGGAGGUGCAUGGCCGUCGCCAGCCCGUGCCGUGAGGCGUCCUGUUAAGUCAGGCAACGAGCGAGACCCUUGCCGGUAAUUGCUAGCUGGGAUCGCAAGAACUCAGAGGCUAGUUACCGGGACUGCCGCUGCUAAAGCGGAGGAAGGAGAGGGCCACGGCAGGUCAGUAUGCCCCGAAACUCCUGGGCCACACGCGGGCUGCAAUGGUAGGGACAGUGGGUCCCGACCUCGACAGAGGAAGGCAAUCCUCAAACCCUACCCCAGUUGUGAUUGAGGGCUGAAACCCGCCCUCAUGAAUAUGGAAUCCCUAGUAACCGCGUGUCAUCACCGCGCGGUGAAUACGUCCCUGCUCCUUGU
rnacentral:rRNA from 1 species